AUUGAACGCUGGCGGCAUGCCUUACACAUGCAAGUCGAACGGUAACAGGGAGCUUGCUCCGCUGACGAGUGGCGAACGGGUGAGUAAUGUAUCGGAACGUACCAUUCAGUGGGGGAUAACGUAGCGAAAGUUAAGCUAAUACCGCAUACGCCCUACGGGGGAAAGGAGGGGAUCUUCGGACCUUUCGCUAACAGAUGAGCCUGCGUAGGAUUAGCUAGUUGGUAGGGUAAAAGCCUACCAAGGCGACGAUCCUUAGCUGUUCUGAGAGGAAGAUCAGCCACACUGGGACUGAGACACGGCCCAGACUCCUACGGGAGGCAGCAGUGGGGAAUAUUGGACAAUGGGCGAAAGCCUGAUCCAGCAAUACCGCGUGUGUGAAGAAGGCCUUAGGGUUGUAAAGCACUUUCAAUUGGAAGGAAAAAACCAGGGUCAAUACCCCUGGUCUUGACAUUACCUUUAGAAGAAGCACCGGCUAACUCCGUG
rnacentral:rRNA from 1 species